CGUGGAUAACCUACCUAUAAGACUGGGAUAACUUCGGGAAACCGGAGCUAAUACCGGAUAAUAUUUUGAACCGCAUGGUUCAAAAGUGAAAGACGGUCUUGCUGUCACUUAUAGAUGGAUCCGCGCUGCAUUAGCUAGUUGGUAAGGUAACGGCUUACCAAGGCAACGAUGCAUAGCCGACCUGAGAGGGUGAUCGGCCACACUGGAACUGAGACACGGUCCAGACUCCUACGGGAGGCAGCAGUAGGGAAUCUUCCGCAAUGGGCGAAAGCCUGACGGAGCAACGCCGCGUGAGUGAUGAAGGUCUUCGGAUCGUAAAACUCUGUUAUUAGGGAAGAACAUAUGUGUAAGUAACUGUGCACAUCUUGACGGUACCUAAUCAGAAAGCCACGGCUAACUACGUGCCAGCAGCCGCGGUAAUACGUAGGUGGCAAGCGUUAUCCGGAAUUAUUGGGCGUAAAGCGCGCGUAGGCGGUUUUUUAAGUCUGAUGUGAAAGCCCACGGCUCAACCGUGGAGGGUCAUUGGAAACUGGAAAACUUGAGUGCAGAAGAGGAAAGUGGAAUUCCAUGUGUAGCGGU
rnacentral:rRNA from 1 species